AUUUCAAAUACUUUUUUUUUCUAAAGCACAUUGUCCAAUAUUGUUAGGAAAAAUAAGUCAUGAAAUUGAUUUUUGUUAUGUUUCCUUCCAAUCAUUAUGAAAAGCCAUUGACUGUAAGCUAAAAAUGGAAAAGAAAGAAGAAAAGAACCAAAGCCUGGCACUCAAAAUGAAAGGAUGGAGACAUUAACCAUUUAUGAGCCUGACUUUUUUUUUUUAUUUUAAAGAGCAAGUGAAUUAAUAUUUUGUGUUGAACUCAAUUUUCAACUAGAUUUUCAAAGAAGCACUGAAUGCUCCUCUUUUAUGUUUAGGAAAAACUUGUGUUUUUAACAACUAACUCCAUUUCUGGGAGACUGAAGCUCUUACACAUUUUACAAAUUAUUUUCUUGGCUACAGCAAACAAGCUCACCCCUGGAGCACCUCCUGAUGCCCCAGAGACAGGGCUUCUCAGACUGCAGGACAGACUCCUGGGACUCUCCUGGUGAUCUUUUUCGAAUGCAGAUUGAUGCCACUACUUGCUUGAGAGAGAGAGAGACAGACAGACAGCGAGAGGGAGAGAGAGAAGACAAUAAUGUUCAAUAUAUAUAUGGUCAUACCCGGAGCCCUAAACAAGACUUUCGAAAAGAAAGCCAGCAGUCCACUCAGAUAAUAUCAAGAAGCUGAAACCCACCAAAUCACUGCAUCUGGACAAUGAGAUGCCAGACUCCUCACAGUCAUGGUCAUAAUUGCUUAACUGACCACUUGCUUCCUGUUGACCAACUCCUCUUCCUUACCGCUCCCUAAUUCCUGUUUUCCCACACAAGGUUACAUUUCUUCCCUGCUACAUAAACCCCUAAUUUCAGUCAGUCAGGAAGAUGGAUUUGAGGCUGAUCUCCCAUCUCCUCAGCUGCAGCACCCAAUAAAGCCUUUGUCCUUAGCAACACUUGCUGUCUCAGUGAUUGGCUUUCUGUGCAGCAAGCUGCAGAAUCUAGAGUGAACCGCUGGUGUUUUUGGUAACAAAGAAAACUCCUGCCUUCAAAUUCCCUGGGGAUCUCAUUGGAAAGAUAGGAAAAUAGGCGCUUUUCAGAAUAUUGUGGAACAAUAAUGCAAUCACAGGGUAUAAAGGGUCCUUAUAGAAAUUGAAAGUAACUCCAGACUGAGGGGUUAAGGACAGACAAGCUGGAGAAGAAGCUGUUGUCUGCUCUGAGAUUCAGCAUAAGAAUCCCACCACUUGUUAUAUCAUAAUAACCAGUAUCUCUUACCUGAAUUUGGCAGUUGCUUUACUCCACCAUUUUCUAAACUACCUGACCCAUUUUUCACCUACAUGACAUUUGAUGCUUAAAAGGAUUACCUUGAAUGGACAAAUACAGCCCCUUAAGAGUGACCACUUUGCAUCUGCCCUGCAGUGACCUGCCUUCAUCUCCAGGGAAGGAGUUGAGAUUCAGUUAGCAGCAAUAAAAAUCUCUAGAUGCUCUUUUUCUUUGGAUACACUACUUAGCAUAUCUGAACCUCAGCCUACCAAAUGGACCUUCAGUAGUACCCAGCCCAUUAUAAAUAUUUUUUUUGAAUUUAAUAUAGUAUAAAGAUGAGGGAAGGUUCUGAAAAAAUAUAUUUUUUAAAAAAAUAGUCAAAUAAGGAUAUUUCAUACAUAAAGGUGAUUUCUCCAUAUUCAGUGUAAAAUUAUCAUUUAUAAACUUUAUUUGUUAAUAUUAAUU
rnacentral:lncRNA from 1 species